rnacentral:lncRNA from 1 species
UUCUGUGCUUUUCCCUUUCUACUGGUGCGGCUCCUAGGCAUCAUUUGUCAGCGCUCCUCCUCCUGCUCUUCUUCCUCUCUCCUCUCUCCUCCUCCCUCUCCUCUUCUCCUCCUCUUCCUCCUCUCCCCCUCCUUCUCCUCCUCUCCUCCUGCUCUCGCUGCUGCUGCUUCCCUCGCUGCUGCUCUCACUGCUGCUGCUGCCCUCGCUGCUGCUGCUGCUGCCCUUGCUGCUCCUGCCCUCGCUGCUGUUGCUGCUACCCCUGCCAGGGGCCCGGGUUUCGCAGGAGAGCUAAGCAAAGCAAAGCCAACACCGGCCGAAGGAAGAAGGAUCCGGAGCUGCAGAACCGCUCGGCUGUCAGGCUGGAAGCGGAACCGGUCCAAGGAAAGGGAGAGACACACAAAGAAUGUGGCUGGGGACACUGCCGGGCGACUCUUGGCUACUUCUGUGUCAGCACAACUCCUCAGACGCCUGCAAACUGAGGUGCAUCUGCAUCUUCGGGAUGUUCACGGUCUAGGAGCCGGCAAGAAGAUGCCGCCAAGAGCAACUCGGUACCCAAGCCAGAACUUAUCAGAUUCAUUGUUAACAAUAUUGGAUGAUAUUCCUACUGUGAAUAUGCUGUACCAGAUGUGUUUCCUGAAGCAAGUCUCAUUGAUUAAAGGAAGUCAUUAUCAUCUUGAAAACCAGAGAUGUGCUGGCUGUAGAUUAUAAUCAGCAAGACUCCUAGCUCUCCUUGCCUGCUACCAUACUCAGAUCAGUAUAUUUGUUCUAUUGAAUUUGGACUUGAGGACCCAUAUAUUUUAAUAUGAUUCCAGCCACUUACAGUUUCAGAUUGUCCCAGCUGAUGUUUGUAACUUCAUUAUUCAAUGGAAAAGCAGGUGUGUGUGUGCAGUGGGAAAAGGGGUGGAUUUAGAGGGAGAGAAACAGAAUUCAGAUCCUGGCUCUGUUCCUUACUACCUAUCAGCCCCUUAGCAUAGGAUUGUGUAUACAGAACUGGCCUCCAAAUGGGGAGACCUGGGUUCAAGUCCUCAUCUAACAUGCUAGUUUGUUGGGUUUUUUUUACCCUGCUUAAGCUGCCAUUUCUCAUUUGUAAAGUGAGGUCUAGCUUCUAGCUCUAAAUCUGUAAUUCUUCAAGUCAACCUCUCUGAGCCUCAAUUUCUUCAUCUGCAAAAUGAAGGAAUUGAACUACUAAG